CUCAUUUCUUUCCACCAGAAAAUAUCUACGUGACCAGGCGAUUAAAGCAAUGUAUGCUGUAAUAAAAAAAUCCAGAUUAAAUAACUUGUCGAUCGAGUGCCAACUCGAUAUGUUUGAUAAAGCUAUUGUUCCUAUACUAACUUAUGGGUGUGAGAUAUGGGGAUUUGAAAAUUUAGAUAUUCUUGAGAGAGUUCAUUUGCGUUUUUGUAAACAUAUAUUGAGGUUAAAAAAUUCAACCCCCAAUUUUAUGGUCUAUGGGGAAUUGGGAAGAUACCCGAUUUCAGUUACCGUCAAGUCACGUAUGAUUAAUUUCUGGUGUCGUUUACAAGAAGGAAAGAGAGCAAACUAUCAUGUUUAUUAUAUAAGCUGUUAUAUGUAAAUCUCAAUAACUAUGGUUAUGAUAGUAAAUGGAUAUUAUAUAUAAAGAAAAUUUUUGAUGACUGUGGAAUUUCAAAUAUAUGGCAAAGUCACAACUUAUUUGAGAAACGUUGGGUUGUAUUGAGUGUUCAGCAAAGAUUAAGAGAUCAGUUCAUUCAAGAAUGGUCAACAGAAAUGAACCAUUCGCCCAAGGGGCUGUGUUAUAGAUUGUACAAAAAUGUUUUUAAAUUUGAACACUAUUUAUCAGUACUACCAUUUAAUCUAUUAAUAACCUUAUGUAAAUUUAGAUGUGGGAACAACCGUUUGCCCAUUGAGACGGGAAGGUGACGCAACAUCCCAAGAUCUGAAAGAUUGUGUCACCUUUGCGCCUCAGCUGACAUUGGUGAUGAAUACCAUUAUAUCAUGUCAUGUAAUUAUUUCAAAGAUGAAAGAUGCAAAUACUUACCACAAUAUUGUAAUAAAAGUAUAAAUGUUAUCAAAUUCAAACAAGUAUGUUCAACCCAA
rnacentral:lncRNA from 1 species